CACUCCUACGGGAGGCAGCAGUGGGGAAUUUUGGACAAUGGGCGAAAGCCUGAUCCAGCAAUGCCGCGUGAGUGAAGAAGGCCUUCGGGUUGUAAAGCUCUUUUGUCAGGGAAGAAACGGUGAAAGCUAAUAUCUUUUGCUAAUGACGGUACCUGAAGAAUAAGCACCGGCUAACUACGUGCCAGCAGCCGCGGUAAUACGUAGGGUGCAAGCGUUAAUCGGAAUUACUGGGCGUAAAGCGUGCGCAGGCGGUUUUGUAAGUCUGAUGUGAAAUCCCCGGGCUCAACCUGGGAAUUGCAUUGGAGACUGCAAGGCUAGAAUCUGGCAGAGGGGGGUAGAAUUCCACGUGUAGCAGUGAAAUGCGUAGAUAUGUGGAGGAACACCGAUGGCGAAGGCAGCCCCCUGGGUCAAGAUUGACGCUCAUGCACGAAAGCGUGGGGAGCAAACAGGAUUAGAAACCCGAGUAGUCCCAU
rnacentral:rRNA from 1 species